GACGAACGCUGGCGGCGUGCCCAAUACAUGCAAGUAGAACGCUGAAGAGAGGAGCUUGCUCUUCUUGGAUGAGUUGCGAACGGGUGAGUAACGCGUAGGUAACCUGCCUUGUAGCGGGGGAUAACUAUUGGAAACGAUAGCUAAUACCGCAUAACAAUGGAUGACACAUGUCAUUUAUUUGAAAGGGGCAAUUGCUCCACUACAAGAUGGACCUGCGUUGUAUUAGCUAGUAGGUGAGGUAAUGGCUCACCUAGGCGACGAUACAUAGCCGACCUGAGAGGGUGAUCGGCCACACUGGGACUGAGACACGGCCCAGACUCCUACGGGAGGCAGCAGUAGGGAAUCUUCGGCAAUGGGGGCAACCCUGACCGAGCAACGCCGCGUGAGUGAAGAAGGUUUUCGGAUCGUAAAGCUCUGUUGUAAGUCAAGAACGGGUGUGAGAGUGGAAAGUUCACACUGUGACGGUAGCUUACCAGAAAGGGACGGCUAACUACGUGCCAGCAGCCGCGGUAAUACGUAGGUCCCGAGCGUUGUCCGGAUUUAUUGGGCGUAAAGCGAGCGCAGGCGGUUUGAUAAGUCUGAAGUUAAAGGCUGUGGCUCAACCAUAGUUCGCUUUGGAAACUGUCAAACUUGAGUGCAGAAGGGGAGAGUGGAAUUCCAUGUGUAGCGGUGAAAUGCGUAGAUAUAUGGAGGAACACCGGUGGCGAAAGCGGCUCCCUGGUCUGUAACUGACGCUGAGGCUCGAAAGCGUGGGGAGCGAACAGGAUUAGAUACCCUGGUAGUCCACGCCGUAAACGAUGAGUGCUAGGUGUUGGAUCCUUUCCGGGAUUCAGUGCCGCAGCUAACGCAUUAAGCACUCCGCCUGGGGAGUACGACCGCAAGGUUGAAACUCAAAGGAAUUGACGGGGGCCCGCACAAGCGGUGGAGCAUGUGGUUUAAUUCGAAGCAACGCGAAGAACCUUACCAGGUCUUGACAUCCCGAUGCUAUUUCUAGAGAUAGAAAGUUACUUCGGUACAUCGGUGACAGGUGGUGCAUGGUUGUCGUCAGCUCGUGUCGUGAGAUGUUGGGUUAAGUCCCGCAACGAGCGCAACCCCUAUUGUUAGUUGCCAUCAUUCAGUUGGGCACUCUAGCGAGACUGCCGGUAAUAAACCGGAGGAAGGUGGGGAUGACGUCAAAUCAUCAUGCCCCUUAUGACCUGGGCUACACACGUGCUACAAUGGUUGGUACAACGAGUUGCGAGUCGGUGACGGCGAGCUAAUCUCUUAAAGCCAAUCUCAGUUCGGAUUGUAGGCUGCAACUCGCCUACAUGAAGUCGGAAUCGCUAGUAAUCGCGGAUCAGCACGCCGCGGUGAAUACGUUCCCGGGCCU
rnacentral:rRNA from 1 species